AGAGUUUGAUCCUGGCUCAGAUUGAACGCUGGCGGCGUGCUUUACACAUGCAAGUCGAGCGGCAGCAUGACCUUGGGUUGAUGGCGAGCGGCGAACGGGUGAGUAAUACAUCGGAACGUACCUUUUAGUGGGGGAUAACGCAUCGAAAGAUGUGCUAAUACCGCAUAAUCUCUGAGGAGGAAAGGCGGGGAUCACGUAAGUGACCCUGUCGCUGAAAGAGCGGCCGAUGGUCGAUUAGCUAGUUGGCGGGGUAAAAGCCCACCAACGGCGAUGAUCGAUAGCGGGUCUGAGAGGACGAUCCGUCACACUGGGACUGAGAC
rnacentral:rRNA from 1 species